UCCAGACUCCUACGGGAGGCAGCAGUGGGGGAUAUUGCACAAUGGGGGGAACCCUGAUGCAGCGACGCCGCGUGGGUGAAGGAGCGUUUCGGCGCGUAAAGCCCUAUCGGCAGGGAAGAAGGAGGACGGUACCUGACUAAGAAGCCCCGGCUAACUACGUGCCAGCAGCCGCGGUAAUACGUAGGGGGCAAGCGUUAUCCGGAUUUACUGGGUGUAAAGGGGGCGCAGACGGCAGCGCAAGCCAGGAGUGAAAGCCCGGGGCCCAACCCCGGGACUGCUCUUGGAACUGCGCGGCUGGAGUGCAGGAGGGGCAGGCGGAAUUCCGGGUGUAGCGGUGAAAUGCGUAGAUAUCAGGAGGAACACCGGUGGCGAAGGCGGCCUGCUGGACUGCGACUGACGUUGAGGCCCGAAAGCGUGGGGAGCAAACAGGAUUAGAUACCCGGGUA
rnacentral:rRNA from 1 species